rnacentral:rRNA from 1 species
CCUACGGGUGGCAGCAGUAGGGAAUAUUGGUCAAUGGAUGCAAGUCUGAACCAGCCAUGCCGCGUGCAGGAAGAAGGCCUUCUGGGUUGUAAACUGCUUUUGCCGGGGGAUAAAAAGCUCAUGCGUGAGCAAUUGAAGGUACCCGGUGAAUAAGCCACGGCUAACUACGUGCCAGCAGCCGCGGUAAUACGUAGGUGGCAAGCGUUGUCCGGAUUUAUUGGGUUUAAAGGGUGCGUAGGCGGCCUAUUAAGUCAGUUCUGAAAUAUCCCGGCUUAACCGGGAGGGUGGGAUUGAUACUGAUGGGCUUGAGUGGAUUCGAGGUAGGCGGAAUUGACGGUGUAGCGGUGAAAUGCUUAGAUAUCGUCAAGAACACCGAUAGUGUAGACAGCUUACUAGACUUCAACUGACGCUGAGGCACGAAAGUGUGGGGAUCAAACAG